rnacentral:rRNA from 1 species
GACGAACGCUGGCGGCAGGCCUAACACAUGCAAGUCGAGCGGAGCGGCGGACGGGAGAGUAAUGCCUAGGAAUCUGCCUGGUAGUGGGGGGUAACGUCCGGAAACGGGCGCUAAUUCCGCAUACUAUCAGUUUAGCCUAGGUCGGAUUGGCUGGUUGGGGGGGUAAAGGCCUACCAAGGCGAGGAUCCGUAACUGGUCUGAGAGGAGGAUCAGUCACAUGGGAACUGAGAAAGGGCCAAGACUCCUACGGGAGGGAGCAGUGGGGAAUAUGGGAAAAUGGGCGAAAGCCUGAUCCAGCAAUGCCGGGUGUGGGAAGAAGGUCUUCGGAUUGUAAAGUACUUUAAGUUGGGAGGCGUUACCAACAGAAUAAGCACCGGCUAACUACGUGCCAGCAGCCGCGGUAAUAC